GGUUCCAUAGUGUAGUGGCUAUCACGUCUGCUUUACGCGCAGAAAGUCCUGGGUUCGAUCCCCAGUGGGAACCA